rnacentral:rRNA from 1 species
AACGUAGGAGACAAACGUUAUCCGGAGUUACUGGGCGUAAAGGGCGUGUAGGUGGUUUCGUAAGUCUGGCGUGAAAUUUUUCGGCUUAACCUGGAAAGGUCGUCGGAUACUGCGGGACUAGAGGACGGUAGAGGCGUGUGGAAUUCCGGGUGUAGUGGUGAAAUGCGUAGAGAUCCGGAGGAACACCAGUGGCGAAGGCGACACGCUGGGCCGUACCUGACACUGAUGCGCGACAGCAUGGGGAGCAAACAGG